rnacentral:tRNA from 1 species
GCUAGCGUGGCUCAGGGGCAGAGCAGCUGAUUCGUAAUCAGCAGGUCGUGGGUUCGAAUCCCACCGCUAGCUCCA